CAACUUUCAGCAAUGGAUCUCUUGGCUCUCGCAUCGAUGAARAACGCAGCGAAAAGCGAUAUGUAAUGUGAAUUGCARAUCUACAGUGAAUCAUCGAAUCUUUGAACGCACCUUGSGCUCCUCGGUGUUCCGAGGAGCAUGCCUGUUUGAGUGUCAGUA
rnacentral:rRNA from 1 species